CCUACGGGAGGCAGCAGUGAGGAAUAUUGGUCAAUGGGCUUACGCCUGAACCAGCCAAGUCGCGUGAGGGAAGACUGCCCUAUGGGUUGUAAACCUCUUUUGUCAGGGAGCAAUUGGCGCUACGUGUAGCGCUAUCGAGAGUACCUGAAGAAAAAGCAUCGGCUAACUCCGUGCCAGCAGCCGCGGUAAUACGUAGGUGGCAAGCGUUGUCCGGAUUUAUUGGGCGUAAAGCGAGUGCAGGCGGUUUCAUAAGUC
rnacentral:rRNA from 1 species